AGAGGUUCAGGAGCAGAAGUCCCAUUAACCAGAUCAAGGCUUUGAAGACCCAACGGCGAUAUGAGGAUUUGAAAGAGACCCUCAACUCAACGUGUUUUUUUUGUUAUUUUUUUAAGAGUUCAAAAUGUUUAAAAUGUGUUCUUUACAUAAAUAAAAAAUAUUUUUCU